UACGGAGGCUGCAAGCGUUAUCCGGAAUCACUGGGCGUAAAGCGUCUGUAGGCGGUUUAAUAAGUCUACUGUUAAAAAUUGAAGCUUAACUUCAAAGAUGCCGUAGAAACUUUUAAACUUGAGGAUGGUAGGGGUAGAGGGAAUUUCCAGUGGAGCGGUGAAAUGCGUAGAUCUUGGAAAGACCACCAAUGGCGAAGGCACUCUACUGGGCCAUGACUGACACUAAGAGACGAAAGCUAGGGGAGCAAAUGGG
rnacentral:rRNA from 1 species